CACUUCCUACUCUUGGCUCACUCUACCUUCAACCUCUCAGCUCUGUCAUUUUUUUUCUGUCUAUGAAUUUAAAAUAGUUUUAUGGCACCAGAUAGUGAAGUGAAAGCAAUAGCAUUUGUCCCAGCCGUGGGUGGGAUCACCUUGCUACCGCGGUGAAAUCGAAGGGGCUGAUCUUCACAAGGAUUUUGCAUUAAGGCCAAUGUGACCUUCUUGCCAAAUGAUUGUUGAAGACUACAGCUAACAAAGUGUUCUGGGGGGCUAUCAAGUGUCUCCAAGGCAGCAGCUGCCCAUUGGCUGGAGAGGAAAUCAAACGUUUAUCCACUGCUACCUUUGCCUGUGGAUGGUAAAAAGGUAU